rnacentral:rRNA from 1 species
GACGAACGCUGGCGGCGUGCUUAACACAUGCAAGUCGAGCGGUAAGGCCCUUCGGGUACGACGAGCGGCGAACGGGUGAGUAACACGUGGGUGACCUGCCUCUAGCUCUGGGAUAAGCCUGGGAAACGUAGGGUCUAAUACCGGAUAUGACUCCACGGCGCAUGUUGUGGGGUGGGAAAGACCUUGUGUGGCUAGAGAUGGGCCCGCGGCCUAUCAGCUUGUUGGUGGGGUGAUGGCCACCAAGGCGACGACGGGUAGCCGGCCUGAGAGGGCGACCGGCCACACUGGGACUGAGACACGGCCCAGACUCCUACGGGAGGGCAGCA